CAUGUUGACUGCGGCGCCGCGUGAAGCGAACUUCCGCUAACACCGCGAUGACGUCAUAUUUGGCGCGCGCACCCAAGCGAACUUGCGGACGCGUCGAGUAUAAACCAGGCUUUAGUUGUAGUGGGUGACAAGCUACGGUAUUAAACUUGUUAACCUUAUAAUCGCUCAUAGAAAAUACAUCGGAUGUCAUAAUUUUUUUAUCAUGACUAAUUUAUUAAUGAUCCAGCAUCAUCUGUAUUAAAGAGAAAGAAUCAUUUCACCCGAUGUUUAAAGAGAAUAAAAUAGCCUUGACAGCCGUUACUUACACAUAACUAACUGUUAUUGAGGAACUUGCUCUCUCUCACCGGACUCCUGUGUGUAUCGGUAAAGAAGAAAAGCAGGCAGUGGACCAAACCACUAUUUGCUAAAUAUGUCCUGAGUACCAAAGGAAGUGGAGACGACGAUGGGCAAGGGUUGUUGCUUUAGUGGAACGUGAUAGCAGCUCUGAAUCCGAGGGGUCAGGGGAGGGCAAUCCCCUCACGGAGGGAUCAACACAUGACAAAUUACAUCCCAUACUACAACAGUCGAACAGCAUCACUUCUUGAGUGUUUUAAUAAACAGCUGGGCUGUCACACUUACAGGAGGAAAGAACAGAAGGACAAUUUACCCAGAGCCUGCUGGAUCUCCAAGUAAGACUGAGGCAAAGGCCCACAUCUCAGGAAACAAUCACGGCUACCCCCAGAAUGGAUGCACAACAUAACACCUUUGAAUCUUCACAGACCUGUGGACAUAUGUUGAGGCGUGAUAAAAGGCUUCAUGACAGUGAACAUCGGUCGGUAUCAAGGUGGUGUGAUUGAUCUGUCUAGAGUUGAUGGAUCUUCUCUCAGAGACUGUGUGAACAUUUACCUUGCAUCAUUUGUGUGUAUUGCUGCAUAAUAUUUCAGUAAAUUAUAUUUAUGAUUGCCACAAUAAUAAACCCAGCCUUUGAUAUUACUUGAAUUCAGGAUUUAACAUGUCACACACCAUUAUAUCUCCUUAUAUACCUGCCUGUUUUCUUGCUCAGAAGUUUUAUGAUGUCCAUACUAACUCGGACAGUCAGCCAGACUUGAGAAGAAGCCAUUCAAAGCUACACCUUUAUACUAUGUAAUUCAAGAUGCUUUGAAGAGGUGGAGCCCCAAUACUACAGACUCAGACAUUGAUGCAGCAAUGGGGGAACACCUGAAGCAUGCUCCAGGAAGAGCCGGGGGUGGUAAACGACUUUCACAGACAAUAAAAACAUAUACAUAUGUGUUAACCAUAUUUCAGUAUUUUUGUUGUUUACUUGUUUGAUUUAUGGCUGUUUAACAGUAAUGCAAGACUGUUAGGGAAAAAAAAAGAGUACUUCUAUAGCUCUGACUUCCAUGCAUCAAUGGUGGAACACAUGAAUCACGCUCCUGGAAGAGCUGGUGGUUUGUGGACCAAGAAAAUGAGAGUAAACAUUUUGAAAAUUUUUUUUUGAAAGACUCUAAAGAUAGUUACAUAUGUGUUAACUAUGAUCCUGUACUUUUAUUUUCUUGUGUAAAUAAUGGCUGCUUAACAUUAAUGUAAAACUGUUAAAGAAAAUGCCAUUGCCACAGAUUUAGAAUUAACCACAUUCUACUAUUUUUAUUUUCUUGUUUGGAUAGUAGCUGUUUAACAAAUGGAAGACAUUUUUCAAAAAUGUAAUAUUCACAAUAAAAUAUGUUGUGCUAAAUUACAACACUAUUCUUCUUGCUUAAGUCCAGGAAUAAUGUGCUAUUGUUUGUGAUGUACACAUGAUUAAAAUGUUUUGUAGACGUUCAGGUCGGACUGGACCGAUUUUGGACCUUUUUACAACAUUUGUCAAGUUCAGAUGUGUAAACCUCGAGACAUAAUUUAAUGCCUUUCACGAUGU